rnacentral:lncRNA from 8 species
AUGGCCAACAUACAACCUGCCACUGAGGUGCAUUUUUGGACAGACGGCACACCUCUGGAAGACUACUGUUUCAGACUGAUAGCAGCACCGCAGACCCUCAUCAUCAGACAGACACAGGGAGAGGACACUGAUCCAAUCUUGGCAAAAAUGAGCUUGGCUCGGAUCCAUGAUAAACACAAGCUAAAGAAAUACUGGGAGGAGAAAAUCGAAAGUCACAGCGAUAUGAUGGGGAGUGAGGAAUCCAGAAUGAAGAGCAGUGCUUUAUCAAAGCUGCGGGACGAGUGGCUCAGGAGGCUGAUGCUUCGGGACCAGCAGCUGGAGCGUUCCGAAGAGAAACACAUCAGGAGGGCCAAGAUGUCCCAACAGACCUUCAAGAUACCCAGUCAAUGAUAUUCGAAUCUGCAUUCUAGAAUCGACAUCAUUCAAAGCCACCUGACUGAGGUCAUGAUACGUAGAUUAGCCUGGGUGCCAUCUCUGUUCAGAUACUACAUUCCACUCAUUGCAACUCCUGUCAUUUUCCAAAGACAAUCAUUGGCAAAUGACAGGAGUGACAAGGAGUGGAAUAUUAGCUAAAAAGACUGGUACUCAGACUAAUGAUGUAGGGCUAACUAGGACUAGCUUCUCCAUUUCAGAUGAUGACAUUAAGACUAUAGAUUGAGGGGAAAUACUGUACUGUAACUGAAGUGAAGUUUACUUCUUGUGAGGGAGAUGGUAUGGCAGAGUGUCAAAUGGAUGGGAUGUCACCGAAUGAUUAGUUGCAGAGCCAUGCUGUACAGACUUUUUCAUUAACACUCAUUUUGUAGUUUUGAGGCGACCAUCUGUUGUGCAGUAAAAUAAGUGCAGGGGAGUAUGUGAAGACUUGACUGUACAUCAGAGUGACAGUCGUGGUGACAGGUGGGGUAAUUAUUAUUUUUUGUUACUUUGUUCGGAGUGUCGGAGGAAUACACAACGUGAUCGGGAGGAAACAUGAUGAAGACUGACAGAAUAUGGUUUGUUUUUUUCAAGAAAGAAAAGUAUGGAAAGUACAGAGACACCAUAGAAAUGUGUCCAUGUCCCAAUUUCCAGGCUUGAAUAUAGAUAGAAUUUCAUAACGUUUAACAUAAUUUAUCUGCAACAUUGAGAGAGGGGAAAGCAUCUAUUCUGAGGCAUGUGAAAUUUAAAGAACUAAUUUGAGUAAAUAAAAAUGCAUGUGGACAGUUUCAGAGGUUUCUGAGAGAUGUGUUCAGGCCUAGUUAUACUGUAGGCGUAGUUCCUUUAUCUGAGGGGAGAAGUUAGUCUUUCAGUCAUCAGUUUAGCAAACAUUUGGAUUGUGCUUUGAAUUGACACUAUAUCGAUGUGUUUAGGGUGUCUACUUAUGUCUUGAUGUUAAGACAAGCUAUGAAAGGGAGUGCUGUUAGCUUUGUCUUCUUUUCAGUUUGAUGUGAUGAACUGAAAAUGACUGAUGUCUAAAAACCAUCCUACAGCAUCACGUGACUAUGAUUGAGAAGUGUAAAAUCAUACAUUAUCAAUGGCCAAGGAGACAGCUUUUGAUCAAAAUAGUAAUUAUUUGACAGAAUGUACAAGAUUGGGAGAUGGUACAGUAUAACAUUACGGAGUAUGACAUUACAGAGUAAUUUACUCCUGAGGUGCUGACCUGUUGCACCCUCUAUAACGACAGUGAUUAUUAUUUGACCCUGCUGGUCAUCUACAGUGCCUUGACUUAUUCCACAUUUUGUUGUUACAUCCAGAAUUCAAAAUUGAUUAAAUUAAUUUCUCUCUCUCUCACCCAUCUACACACAAUAUCCCAUAUUGACAAAGUGAAUGCAUGUUUUUAGACAUUUUAGGACAUUUAUUGAAAAUGAAAUACAGAAAUAUCUCAUUUACAUAAGUAUUCACACCCCUGAGUCAAUACUUUGUAGAAGCAGCUUUGACAGCGAUUACAGCUGUGAGUCUUUCUGGGUAAGUCUCUAAGAGUUUUCCACACCUGGAUUGUGCCCAUUAUUCUUCUCAGAAUUCAUGUUUUGCAAUAUUUUUAUUCUGUAAAGGCUUCCUUUUUUUCACUGUCAUGUAGGUUAGAAUUGUGGAGUAGCAACAAUGUUGUUGAUCCUUCCUCAGUUUUCUCCUAUCACAGCCAUUAAACUUUUAAAGUCGCGAUUGGCCUCAUGGUGAAAUUCCCUGAGAGGUUUUCUUCCUCUCCGGUAACUGAGUUAGGAAGGACGCCUGUAAAUUUGUAGUGACUGGGUGUAUUGAUACACCAUUCGAAGUGUAAUUAAUAACUUCACCAUGCUCAAAGGGAUAUUCAAUGUCUGAUUUUCUACCAAUAGGUGCCCUUCUUUGCGAGGCAUUGGAAAAACUUCAUGGUCUUUGUGGUUGAAUCUGUGUUUGAAAUUCACUGCUCGACUGAGGAACCUUACUGAUAAUUUUAUAUGUGGAGUACAGAGAUGAGGUAGUCAUUCAAAAGUCAUGUUAAACACUAUUAUUGCACACACAGUGAGUCCAUGCAACUUAUUAAGUGACCUUUAAGCACAUUUUUACUCCUGAACUUAUUUAGGCUCUCCAAAACAUAGGGGUUGAAUACUUAUUGACAAGACAUUUCAGUUCUUGUUUUUGUUCUUUCAUUUGUAAAAGUUGCAAAAAACAUAAUUCCAUGAUGUGUUAUUGUGACAAACGAUAUCAAUUUAAUCAAUUUUUAAUUCAGGCUGUAACACAACAAAAUGUGGAAAAAAUCAAGAGGUGUGAAUACUUUCUGAAGGCACUGUAAGUGUAACAAGAGAUAAGAGUUUUAGGACACAACAGCUUAAAACUAAAAGCAAUGCAUGCAACAUUCCAAUCAGGCAUGGACUGAUCUUCAAACCAUCUUUUGUUUUGGUCAAUGUCUAAUUUCUUAAUUACUAUUAAUGAAUUAAUCAUGCACAUUCAGUACCUCAACAAGUCAGAAAACACCAACACGUGUUUUUUUCAUCUACAUAAUGAGUAUCUAUGACACAAGAGUUCUUUAUUUUCUUAUUUCUGACUCAGACCUGAGCCUCAGAUGAGUUUGUGAACCGUGACAGCUGUGACUGUCCUUUAGAGUACACAGAGGAACAUAUAGCCACAUCCUCGCUGAAUACAUUUUUUAUAUUUACCUAAGAGAUACCCUGACCCUCUUCCUUAAGUCCUGACUCAUGAAGACAUACAGAAGAGGGUUGCUGUAAGCCAGAGAGAUGGCCAGGGGGUCCAGAGCCUGGGCCAUGUCUUCCGAGGCCUCCCUCUGCAUCACCAGCCCUAUCACCAGCUCUCACUGCAUCACCAGCCCUAUGAUGUGAUAUGGCAGACAGCACAUAAAGAACAGAGCCACAACACCCAAUAUGAUCCAGAAGGCCCUCUGGGAUUUGAGCAGGUAGCAGACAGCGAUGACCAACAAGGGGAUGAGGAAGCCGAGCACUAGCCUGGUGACGUGGGUGGCUUUGAUAGCUGUGAUGGCCGGAUGGUUGCCCUCAGUUUUGUCUAGUAGGUGGUGAUAGGUGCACAGUGACGUGUUCAUAUAAUCAAGGAAUACUAUUCCUCUGUAGAUCAUAUAGGGAGGCUGAGGAGCAGGGCCAGGACCCAGGCCAGACCACACAGCAGCCAGGCCAGGGUGAGGCUCCGGUGGUUCUGGGCCCAGAAAGGCAGGAUGACCAGGGCAAAGCGGUCCGAACUGAUAAGGACCAGAGUGAAGACACCUUGCACAUAGCCUCUCCAGUGGUGGUUCAGUAUGAUUUCAGUAAUAGAGAAAGGGAUGGAGGGAUGGAGACACAGCAGAGCAGGUCAGCCACAUCCAGGUUAACAAACCAGAUGGUGUUGACUGUCCUCGUCAUCUUGACUUUAGCUAUCCAAAUGACAAAGGUGUUGCCUGGGAUACCGAGGACACAGGUAACGCUGUAUAGGAUCAUAGACACCACCCGUAAGAAUGGAUGCCCUUGUUCUGAGAAAUACGUUUAAUUGAAUGGGUCAUAAUACAAGUCAAACUUCCCAUACUCUUCUGUGAAAGUCCCAUUGUUAAUCCCCAUAUUCCUCUGAGAAAUGACCAUAAUCCUCUGAGAAAUACAUAUUGUCAAUAGGGAGGAGUUGUUUGACACAGAAUGUCAGUCAUAUUCUGACUAAAUGCAUACAAUACCAGCCAAAAGUUUGGACACACCUACUCAUUCAAGGGUUUUUCUUUAUUUUUCACUAUUUUCUACAUUGUAGAAUAAUAGUGAAGACAUCAAAACUAUGAAAUAACACAUAUGUAAUCAUGUAAUAAACAAAAAGUGUUAAACAAAUCAAAAUAUAUUUUAGAUUUGAGAUUCUUCAAAGUAACCACCCUUUGCCUUGAUGACAGCUU